rnacentral:rRNA from 1 species
GGGUUGUGAGGUUAAGCGACUAAGCGUACACGGUGGAUGCCCUGGCAGUCAGAGGCGAUGAAGGACGUGCUAAUCUGCGAUAAGCGCCGGUAAGGUGAUAUGAACCGUUAUAACCGGCGAUUUCCGAAUGGGGAAACCCAGUGUGAUUCGUCACACUAUCAUUAACUGAAUCCAUAGGUUAAUGAGGCGAACCGGGGGAACUGAAACAUCUAAGUACCCCGAGGAAAAGAAAUCAACCGAGAUUCCCCCAGUAGCGGCGAGCGAACGGGGAGGAGCCCAGAGCCUGAAUCAGCAUGUGUGUUAGUGGAAGCGUCUGGAAAGGCGCGCGAUACAGGGUGACAGCCCCGUACACAAAAGCGCAUGUGCUGUGAGCUCGAUGAGUAGGGCGGGACACGUGGUAUCCUGUCUGAAUAUGGGGGGACCAUCCUCCAAGGCUAAAUACUCCUGACUGACCGAUAGUGAACCAGUACCGUGAGGGAAAGGCGAAAAGAACCCCGGCGAGGGGAGUGAAAAAGAACCUGAAACCGUGUACGUACAAGCAGUGGGAGCACAGGUUUACCUGUGUGACUGCGUACCUUUUGUAUAAUGGGUCAGCGACUUAUAUUCUGUAGCAAGGUUAACCGUAUAGGGGAGCCGUAGGGAAACCGAGUCUUAACCGGGCGUUAAGUUGCAGGGUAUAGACCCGAAACCCGGUGAUCUAGCCAUGGGCAGGUUGAAGGUUGGGUAACACUAACUGGAGGACCGAACCGACUAAUGUUGAAAAAUUAGCGGAUGACCUGUGGCUGGGGGUGAAAGGCCAAUCAAACCGGGAGAUAGCUGGUUCUCCCCGAAAGCUAUUUAGGUAGCGCCUCGUGAACUCAUCUCCGGGGGUAGAGCACUGUUUCGGCUAGGGGGCCAUCCCGGCUUACCAACCCGAUGCAAACUGCGAAUACCGGAGAAUGUUAUCACGGGAGACACACGGCGGGUGCUAACGUCCGUCGUGAAGAGGGAAACAACCCAGACCGCCAGCUAAGGUCCCAAAGUCAUGGUUAAGUGGGAAACGAUGUGGGAAGGCCCAGACAGCCAGGAUGUUGGCUUAGAAGCAGCCAUCAUUUAAAGAAAGCGUAAUAGCUCACUGGUCGAGUCGGCCUGCGCGGAAGAUGUAACGGGGCUAAACCAUGCACCGAAGCUGCGGCAGCGACACUCAGGUGUUGUUGGGUAGGGGAGCGUUCUGUAAGCCUGUGAAGGUGGCCUGUGAGGGUUGCUGGAGGUAUCAGAAGUGCGAAUGCUGACAUAAGUAACGAUAAAGCGGGUGAAAAGCCCGCUCGCCGGAAGACCAAGGGUUCCUGUCCAACGUUAAUCGGGGCAGGGUGAGUCGACCCCUAAGGCGAGGCCGAAAGGCGUAGUCGAUGGGAAACGGGUUAAUAUUCCCGUACUUGGUGUUACUGCGAAGGGGGGACGGAGA